CCCCCAGAUCCACUCAACUCAUUUCAGCAGAGGCUCCUCCAAGCCGUCGAGAGGGAUGCAGCCUAACCUGAUGCUCACAGGAAGGAGGAUGAGGAGACCCUCUUUGCCAUGAGCCUGGUGCCAACACUGAAGAGGCUGCCUCAGCAAAGAAAAGCAGCAGUCAAGGUUAAAAUGUAUCAGCUGCUUUUCGAAGCCGAAUUCAAUGAAAUGGAGACAAUUUAGCCGACCGGCUCACAGGAAGGACAGGAAGAGGAGAGGAAGGACAGGAAGAGGACAGGAAGAGGAGAGGAAGGACAGGAAGGACAGGAAGAUGAGAGGAAGGACAGGAAGAGGAGAGGAAGGACAGGAAGAGGACAGGAAGGACAGGAAGAGGAGAGGAAGGACAGGAAGAGGAGAGGAAGGACAGGAAGAGGACAGGAAGGACAGGAAGAGGACAGGAAGGCCAGGAAGGGGAGAGGAAGGACAGGAAGAGGAGAGGAAGGACAGGAAGAGGACAGGAAGGACAGGAAGAGA